UCUCAUUUUCGAAUUUUCUAUUUGGAUACCAACAUUUCGAACGCCUCCUAUUACCAUUUGAACUUUUUGUAUAAAUUUCUCUCGUUAGAGUUCAGAACGCUCUAGAAUUUCUCUUCCCUCGCGAAAUCGUUUCUCCCGCGCACCCCGCUCUACUCCGUAGAUUUUUGCUUUCUCGACUCAUUUCCAUGGCGAUGGCGUCUUCGUUCGUUACUGUGCCGAAGCCCUUUGUCGACAGGGCUAAUUCACCUUCUGUUUCUUCAUGGCGGCAAAAAGCUGGAUUGCAGAGAAGCUCUUUGAAAGUCAGCGCAGUUUCUAAGAAAUAUAAGCCUGCGAAGGUGGUUCCUCAAGCUGACAGAGUCCUCGUUCGUCUUGAGGAGCUUGCUGAGAAAUCGGCUGGUGGAGUUUUGCUACCCAAAUCAGCUGUCAAAUUUGAGCGACAUCUUGUGGGAGAGAUUAUCUCCAUUGGAACAGAAGUUGGAGGAAAUGAUAUUGCACCUGGAAAGAAGGUUCUUAUAUCAGACAUCAAUGCUUAUGAGGUAAGUCGUUUGGUUUGGUGGUGUACAUURUUGGCUUGAAUAUUCUCUCAAUUAUAUUUGGUUCAAUACUCCUUCAAAGUAUUGGUUACAAAAUUAUCCAUAGYCCUGGGACAGUGUCUCGAUCUCCUACGUGUGUGCUAUCAUCGAGAACGGGGGAUUGUAGAAGACUUAGGUUAGUUUAUGCGAGUCUUCCUAGAAUUAGUUUGGGUUUGAACCAAAUUAACUCAAACUUAUUAUUAAUUAAAAAUAUCUUACUUAUGAUGUCAUUACCUGUGCAUACAUUUUAAUUUAUUUUCAUUUUAUUCAAUAAUUCUCUUUUGAUCUUUCACCCAACAACUUUAAGAAAAUGGUGUUGUAGGUCUCUUGGAGUAUAGUUUUUCAUGAAAUAAAAUUUGACAAUAGACUACUAAUUUAAACUCAACGUUUGAAAAUCAGUAAUCGGAUAUCUAAGGGACUGACAUUUUCACUAUUUCUCCUUACAAAAUUUUGAACAAAUGACCCGGAAAAUAGCACGUUUUUUAUUCUUUGAAAGUCCUAAAAAGAUGGUCGCAAUUUCUAAUGCUUAACAUUUUGCCUAUGAGCUAGUUGUCUUGGGAUGUUAAUUAUUUCACCAAAUACUGCCAUUCUUACUGUAAAGUUAAACUGAUUGAUGCAGAAUUCCCAUUAGUGACUCAUUAGACAAAAAAAGUAGCAGGACUCUAAUUCCAGGGCCAUAAGUAGUAAAUAUGUUUUUAGGGGAAAUGUUUGUUAAGCUGCCUAAUCUUUUGGCAAUGCAUCCUUCGAACCUUUAUCUUCUAACUUGUAUCAUGUAUGUUAGCUAAUCGCUAUCACUCAUGUCAUGAAGUAACUCAUGUUCAUUUGUUUCUUUCUAUAGAUUUUUUUCUUCGGUUAUUGAAUCGCAGGAUUAAAUGAUGGCAGAUACUUAAUCCUGCAAGUUUUUCAGUGUUACAUAUUGCAAGGUCUGAGUGAUUAUCACAUGUGCCUAGUCAAGAUGCGUGUACCUAGAUACGCAUAAAAAGAAAAACUGUUUGCAAUUAGAGUGAUAUAACUAAUGUACGUUGUUACAAUGCUGUAAGUCAUGAUCCUGAAUAGCAAAGUGAUCGGGAUCGGGAUCGGGAUCGGGUUUGCCCAUGCAUGAUGGAAUCAUUGCUUUGUUUAAUUUGUUGGUGGAUUUGGGCACAGAUGCUAAGCACUGCUUCUGUAAAGCUGGUGAUUUGUUAGCUGUGGUUGAGUAGAGAAGCUUUACAAUUUCUCCAACGCUACAAAAUUCAGAUCAACAUCACUUAUUCCACUCAGAUUAGUUCUCUCUUUCCUCAUUGAUUUUCAAUUGCUUUUUUACUUUUGAAGUAUAUCAUGUCUUUAUACUUUUAUUUAAGAAUUACCCAUCAUUGUAAAGUUUCCUCAAAAAAAAAAAGAAAAAAGUGAGACUUGUAAAGAACUCAUUAGGAAGAAUAGCUUAAAUUAAAAAGAAUUAGUCAACCUAAAUAGUAAACUAAAGGAAAAUAGGUAUGCAAAUAAAUCUUUAAUUUUUUCUUUUUUGUUCAAGAAAAUAUAUAAUAUUUUUUUAGGAAAGUAAUUUCCAAAUAUG